rnacentral:rRNA from 1 species
GAUGAACGCUGGCGGCGCGCCUAACACAUGCAAGUCGAACGAUUAAAGCACCUUCGGGUGUGUAUAAAGUGGCGAACGGCUGAGUAACACGUGGGCAACCUGCCCCUUUCAUUGGGAUAGCCACGGGAAACCGUGGAUAAUACCGAAUACUUCGAGACUUCCGCAUGGAAGACUCGAGAAAGCUCCGGCGGAGAGGGAUGGGCCCGCGGCCUGUUAGCUUGUUGGUGGGGUAACGGCCUACCAAGGCAAUGAGGGGUAGCUGGGUUGAGAGACCGACCAGCCAGAUUGGGACUGCGACACGGCCCAGACUCCUACGGGAGGCAGCAGUGGGGAAUCUUGCACAAUGGGCGAAAGCCUGAUGCAGCGACGCCGCGUGCGGGAUGAAGGCCUUCGGGUUGUAAACCGCUUUCAGCAGGGACGAGGCGAAAGUGACGGUACCUGCAGAAGAAGCCCCGGCUAACUACGUG